rnacentral:rRNA from 1 species
AUACGGAGGGUGCAAGCGUUAAUCGGAAUUACUGGGCGUAAAGCGUACGUAGGCGGUUAUUUAAGUCAGAUGUGAAAGCCCCGGGCUUAACUUGGGAACUGCAUUUGAAACUGGGUAACUAGAGUUUAGUAGAGGGGAGUGGAAUUUCAGGUGUAGCGGUGAAAUGCGUAGAGAUCUGAAGGAACACCAGUGGCGAAGGCGACUCCCUGGACUAAACCUGACGCUGAGGUACGAAAGCGUGGGUAGCAAACAGGAUUAGAAACCCCAGUAGUCC